GCAUAUCAAUAAGCGGAGGAAAAGAAACUAACAAGGAUUCCCCUAGUAACGGCGAGUGAAGAGGGAAAAGCUCAAAUUUAAAGCUGUUGUCUUUCAGGCAACCGCAUUGUAAUCUCAAGAAGUGUUUUCGAUUGUAGCCUGCGUAUAAGUACCUUGGAAUAGGUUGGCAUAGAGGGUGAAACUCCCGUCUUUGAUGCAGAUUACUAUGAUCAUGUGAUACACUUUCUAAGAGUCGAGUUGUUUGGGAAUGCAGCUCAGAAUGGGUGGUAAAUUCCAUCUAAAGCUAAAUAUUGGCCUGAGACCGAUAGCGAACAAGUACCGUGAGGGAAAGAUGAAAAGCACUUUGGAAAGAGAGUCAAACAGAACGUGAAAUUGCUGAAAGGGAAGCGUUUGAAGUUAGUCUGAUAGGAGUUGUUCAAUUGUUACUUUGGUUUCAAUGUAUGCAACUUUUUAUCGGUCAACAUCAAUUUUGAUUGAUGGAUAAAGGUAAUAGGAAUGUGGCUACAAUUUGUAGUGUUAUAGACUAUUAUCAUAAACAUUGAUUGAGAUUGAGGACGGCAGUGUACCUUUUAGGAAGGUGUUCGCACCUAUUACACUAAGGAUGUUGACAAAAUAGCUUUAAGCGACCCGUCUUGAAACACGGACCAAGGAGUCUAACAUAUCUGCGAGUAUUUGAGUGACAAACUCGAAUGCGUAAUGAAAGUGAAUGUAGGUGUGAAGCGUAAGCUGCAACAUCGACCGAUCUGGAAUUUUUAUAAUGAUGGAUUUGAGUAAGAGCAUAUAUGUUGGGACCCGAAAGAUGGUGAACUAUGCCUGAAUAGGGUGAAGCCAGAGGAAACUCUGGUGGAGGCUCGUAGCGGUUCUGACGUGCAAAUCGAUCGUCAAAUUUGGGUAUAGGGGCGAAAGACUAAUCGAACCAUCUAGUAGCUGGUUCCUGCGA
rnacentral:rRNA from 1 species